UAAGUGUUUUCGAGAUCAUGGGACA
rnacentral:piRNA from 1 species